rnacentral:ncRNA from 1 species
AGAACUGUUAAGGCAAAGGAUGGAAUGAAGGGGUAACGCCCGGAAACGUCCUCUUUAAUACUGCGACGUGCUAAGAGGCGGCAACAGCCAAAUGGUACGAAGCUCGCAGAAGUCGGCAGAGAGUUACCGUAAGGAGUGAACAACUGCUCUACGAAAGCGUCCCAGAGGUGGGGUGUGUAGCCUAUAUGCCGGAAGUCC